UAUCAGGUUGCUGCUAAAGUAAUUGUGGGUUUUGCCAAAGUAAUGGCAAAAACUGCAAUCACUUUUGCACCAAUCUAAUA
rnacentral:miRNA from 1 species